rnacentral:RNase_P_RNA from 1 species
GAAGUUGGCUAAACAGUCGCCUCUCUGCUUAUUUUAUGCAUCGCUACCUAGUGCGCUUUAAUUGCAAAGGAUGUAUAGAAUAAGUAGAGGGGAGGAAAGUCCGGGCUCUAUGGGCAGGGUGCCAGGUAACGCCUGGAGGAUGAGAAUCCAUGGAAAGUGCAGCAGAAAAUAAACCGCCCGGCUACUCACUUAAACGCUUCGCUGAAAUAGUAAGUGGUGAAAGGCUAGCGAACUAAGUGUAGUGCUUAAGUGAGUAGUCAGGUAAGGGUGAAAUGGUGCGGUAAGAGCGCACCGCGCAGCUGGCAACAGAUGUGGCAAGGUAAACCCCACCUAGAGCAAGACCAAAUAGGGGGACAUGGAGAAUUCCAGCGUAUGGCCCGUACGGUCCCCGGGUAGGUUGCUUGAGAUUUGUGGUGACAUAAGUCCUAGAUGAAUGGCUGUUCUCGACAGAACCCGGCUUAUCGGCUGACUUCCAAA